AACGCACCUUGCGCCCCUUGGCAUUCCGAGGGGCACACCCGUUUGAGUGUCGUGAAAUUCUCAAAAACCCUUUUUUCUUUGAUCCUUUCAGGGUUUGGGAAAAGGAUUUUUGGACUUGGAGGUUCAAUGCUCGCCUUUCGCUUUCGAAAGCGAGCUCCUCUAAAAUAAAUUAGCGGGGUCUGCUUUGCCGCUCCUUGACGUGAUAAGAUGUUUCUACGUUUUGGAUUUAGCACAGUCCUUUGGAUUCCUGCUUCUAACCGUCUUACGGACAACGAUGGUGCUCCGGUCACUGCCGCUUAUAUCGGUGGGAGGCUGGACCCACAGAGAAAAACCUUGACCUCAAAUCGGGUGAGACUACCCGCUGAACUUAAG
rnacentral:misc_RNA from 1 species